GAUGAACGCUGGCGGCGUGCCUAAUACAUGCAAGUCGAGCGAACGGACGAGAAGCUUGCUUCUCUGAUGUUAGCGGCGGACGGGUGAGUAACACGUGGAUAACCUACCUAUAAGACUGGGAUAACUUCGGGAAACCGGAGCUAAUACCGGAUAAUAUUUUGAACCGCAUGGUUCAAAAGUGAAAGACGGUCUUGCUGUCACUUAUAGAUGGAUCCGCGCUGCAUUAGCUAGUUGGUAAGGUAACGGCUUACCAAGGCAACGAUGCAUAGCCGACCUGAGAGGGUGAUCGGCCACACUGGAACUGAGACACGGUCCAGACUCCUACGGGAGGCAGCAGUAGGGAAUCUUCCGCAAAGGGCGAAAGCCUGACGGAGCCACGCCGCGUGAGUGAUGAAGGUCUUCGGAUCGUAAAACUCUGUUAUUAGGGAAGAACAUAUGUGUAAGUAACUGUGCACAUCUUGACGGUACCUAAUCAGAAAGCCACGGCUAACUACGUG
rnacentral:rRNA from 1 species